rnacentral:rRNA from 1 species
UACGAAGGGUGCAAGCGUUACUCGGAAUUACUGGGCGUAAAGCGUGCGUAGGCGGUUUGUUAAGUCUGUUGUGAAAGCCCCGGGCUCAACCUGGGAAUGGCCAUGGAAACUGGCGAACUGGAGUGCGGCAGAGGGGGGUGGAAUUCCGCGUGUAGCAGUGAAAUGCGUAGAGAUGCGGAGGAACACCGAUGGCGAAGGCAGCCCCCUGGGCUAGCACUGACGCUCAGGCACGAAAGCGUGGGGAGCAAACAGG